GGAGAGGUCGCAUAGUGGCCGAGUGCCGCUUCGUGCUAAGAAGCUAUACCCGCAAGGGUAUCGUGGGUUCGAAUCCCACCCUCUCCG
rnacentral:tRNA from 1 species